UACGGAGGAGGCAAGCGUUAUCCGGAAUUAUUGGGCGUAAAGCGUCCGCAGGUGGCACCUCAAGUCUGCUGUCAAAGACCGGGGCUUAACCCCAGAAAGGCAGUGGAAACUGAAGUGCUAGAGUGCAGUAGGGGUAGAGGGAAUUCCCGGUGUAGCGGUGAAAUGCGUAGAGAUCGGGAAGAACAUCGGUGGCGAAAGCGCUCUGCUGGACUGCAACUGACACUCAAGGACGAAAGCUAGGGGAGCGAAUGGG
rnacentral:rRNA from 1 species